rnacentral:rRNA from 1 species
GAUGAACGCUGGCGGCGUGCCUAAUACAUGCAAGUCGAGCGAACAGACGAGGAGCUUGCUCCUCUGACGUUAGCGGCGGACGGGUGAGUAACACGUGGAUAACCUACCUAUAAGACUGGGAUAACUUCGGGAAACCGGAGCUAAUACCGGAUAAUAUAUUGAACCGCAUGGUUCAAUAGUGAAAGACGGUUUUGCUGUCACUUAUAGAUGGAUCCGCGCCGCAUUAGCUAGUUGGUAAGGUAACGGCUUACCAAGGCAACGAUGCGUAGCCGACCUGGGAGGGUGAUCGGCCACACUGGAACUGAGACACGGUCCAGACUCCUACGGGAGGCAGCAGUAGGGAAUCUUCCGCAAUGGGCGAAAGCCUGACGGAGCAACGCCGCGUGAGUGAUGAAGGUCUUCGGAUCGGAAAGCUCUGUUAUUAGGGAAGAACAAAUGUGUAAGUAACUAUGCACGUCUUGACGGUACCUAAUCAGAAAGCCACGGCUAACUACGUG